rnacentral:rRNA from 1 species
UACAGAGGUCUCAAGCGUUGUUCGGAAUCACUGGGCGUAAAGGGUGUGUAGGCUGCGUGUUAAGUCAGAUGUGAAAUCCCGGGGCUCAACCUCGGAACUGCAUCCGAUACUGGCAUGCUGGAGAAUUGGAGAGGAGUCUAGAAUUCACGGUGUAGCAGUGAAAUGCGUGGAUAUCGUGAGGAAUACCAAGUGCGAAGGCAGGACUCUGGACAUUUAUCUGACGCUGAGACACGAAGGCCAGGGGAGCAAACGGG